CGCGCCCGCCCCGCCCCCGCCCCCCCCCCCCCCCCAGCCGCUGCCGUCCGUCCUGCCGCUUUCACAGCAGCUGCAGGCAAGGCCACGCUUUCCUCUUCUCACCUCCUCCCCGAUUAUUUAUUAUGGCUUGCUCCACCUCUGCCUGCGAGCGCGCAGCCUGGGCGUUAGGUAGGCUUUCCAUUUCCUCUUGCGUGCGGCCCCCCGCGCCUCUCCCCGGCUGCCCCAAAAGAUGCCAUCUCAUCCUUUUAAGUUCCGUAAUGUGGGCACCCUGGGGACAUCGCUGUUGCCUUUCCAGACUAAAGGUUGCGUUUCCAGACGUGUUUUGUGUCCCUGAAGCCCUUUAAAGGUAGUGCUGCGUUACAUGGGUCGGAGUCGAUGUUUUCUCUAAGCCGGCUUUAGCCCGAGCAGUUUUGCAGCAGGAGGAAACGCUAUGAGUUGCCCACAAUGUCAAGCAUGGAACUCUUUAGGAAGAAAAUUAAUGCAUCCUUGGACUCCUGAAGGAAGAGCCUUCCUGAUGGGACCAUUUUCAAGCUGUUUUGUGACAAGGAACACUCUCCUCCUGUAUUACUUUUGUGAUAUGGGAACAUCAAUGACAGCAGUGGAAGAGAGUUGGAGGAGCUGUGGAAUUAGAUUGUGUUCAGCUAAUAAACCUUCAUGCUGAAAUGGGCAAUUGCAAAGCUGUAUAUUCCAAAAGGAGAAGUGGAGUUGUGUAUAUUGUGUACGUAUGCAAUGUUAGCACUUAAAUCAAGAAGAUCUUUCUAGCUUUCUCCUUUGUAGCCAUCUUAAGAGGCCCUGGAUAGUCCUAGUGUUUGGUUUCUCUGCUUGAGGCAGAGAGACCAGGCAAUUGCAGGCUUUGGAGAGGCAGAAUGAAACCUUGGCCUGUCCCCCUAUAAAUUGCUAGGAUUUAACCAACUGCCACACACAACAGGAUUGGGCAAAGGGCACCCAGAUCUGCAGUUCUGGAGGCAUUUUGCCCUUGGUGACACAGAUGCUGGAUUUGCUGGUAUACGAUACCUUUUGGUACUGCAGCAGUCCGUCAUUCCUGUUAUCCGUCUUUAAUUUAUGCAGCUAUCUAGAGCCUUUUGCACUAAGAAUUUAUACAUGUUCUAUACAACAUGCAAUGUUCCUGAGCUUAGCUCUGAAAACUGUAGGAGACCUUUCAUAAAGUAUUGAUGUUGUUCAGUAUAUGAAUGUAAAAACAGAAAAGGAAUGACUGUAUUGCAAAUUCAAAAAAACCUCUUAAAAUAUGAAUAGAUUAGCAGCAUUUUAUGCUGACUGUAAAUAUCAUGGAUGAGACCCACUCUAGUUUGUAAAAUGUAACCAUUGGGGAGAUUCAGUAGGCUUUUACUUCCUGUCAUAGAACGAUUCCUGUUGAUUUACAUCGAGAAACGUGUGUUACAAAUACUUCUGGAGCUGCUUUUGACCUGUUGCCAUGUUUGAACAUUUUUUGCCGUAUCUGGAACAGUAUGCACAUCAUAGAACAUUAAAAAAAAAAAAUUAGGUUACAUUAAAGUUUUUUUUAUGUUAAGCAUAAUGUUUGAGAAUUGUAUAUGGCUCUGGCUAGGGUUUUGGAAAGCUGUACUUAACCCAAACAAUUUUAGGCUAAAUUUGGAAUUGCAUACAUAUUCAGUUAUUGAAUUAUUUACAAUAUGUUACAUAUCUGUAUUGGAUAAGUAACUCUUACUUGAAAAACGGGCUUUUUGACUUGUCUUUGACUUGACAAGCUGAGCUACCCAAUGGUCCACAGUACUGCAUGUGCUGUGAUUGCCAAAUAGCUGUCUUGACCAAUUAAAUUACUUCUUAAUAUUCUUUCUACUCUGAAAAAUACCUGUAUUCUUAAAAUCUUCUGAAUUAAAUAGUACAAAUAUUGUUAGACUUACUGUGGACUUUGUUUUUCCAACUGUGUUUGGGUCUACACUAUGAAUUGGCCUGUGUCUUGCAGACAUGUAGCUAUCAGACUGUAUGCUAAAUAUGAGCUCAGGUCUUUGCUUAGGCUAUUGUACUGCAGCACUCUAAAGAAGUUCUUUGUAACAGAACAAAUGGACAGUUAGCCCAUAUUGGGUUUGCAAGGAGCUUCAGAAACUACAGUCACACUCUAAUAUAGUUAUUAAAUAUUGAAAUCAUUUAUUUUUCUGGUACUUGGACAUGUAAAAAGCAUUAAGAUUCAGCAAUACUUAAAUGCAAAGGAAAAUAUUGAUCAUGAUUUGGAAAUGUGCUAUUAGUUAUGGAAUAAUGUUAUAAUUUUUCAUCUUUUACUGUUUAAAAAUUAAUCCGUUCCUUUUCUCUCUGUGGCUUAAAAGGCUUUGUUGUGCAAGCUGGAGGCUCAAGGCGGGGAGCCUCCUGGUUCUUUUCUGUUCAAGAAGUAGCUUUGGAGAGUAUAUUGAUGGCAAGGGGCUCGUGGAGUUCUGUCUCUUCUUUGUAUGAACUUCCUAUGUACCCUAAAGUUUCCUCCUUGUUCUGUAGCUAAUGUUUUGAAAACCAAUGGAACAAUAUGCAGAAGGGCGUACUCCUCAAAAUGAGUAGUUCCAGAAUCUGACCCCCUUGGCAUCAGCCAUCAGAAUAACUCUGGGAGCAGAACUGUGAAUUCUGUUUUCUUGUGUUUGCACUCGUAAUUCUCAAAAUUAUGAUUAUUUCUAAUUUUCUUCAAUUAAAAAUAAAUUUAAA
ensembl:lncRNA